AAUCAACGCUGGCGGCGUGCUUAACACAUGCAAGUCGAGCGGUAAGGCCCUUUCGGGGGUACACGAGCGGCGAACGGGUGAGUAACACGUGGGUGACCUGCCCUCAGCUCUGGGAUAAGCCUGGGAAACCGGGUCUAAUACCGGAUAUGACUCCAUGACGCAUGUUGUGGGGUGGAAAGCCUUGUGCGGCUGAGGAUGGGCCCGCGGCCUAUCAGCUUGUUGGUGGGGUGAUGGCCUACCAAGGCGACGACGGGUAGCCGGCCUGAGGGGCGACCGGCCACACUGGGACUGAGACACGGCCCAGACUCCUACGGGAGGCAGCAGUGGGGAAUCUUGCGCAAUGGGCGAAAGCCUGACGCAGCGACGCCGCGUGAGGGAUGACGGCCUGG
rnacentral:rRNA from 1 species